rnacentral:tRNA from 1 species
CUCCAGUUAGCCUGAUGGUUAGGCUUUGGAUCGUCAAUCCAGAGACGGCGGGUUCGAUUCCCGCUCCGCAGG